CCUACGGGUGGCAGCAGUGAGGAAUAUUGGUCAAUGGACGAGAGUCUGAACCAGCCAAGUAGCGUGAAGGAUGACUGCCCUAUGGGUUGUAAACUUCUUUUAUAAAGGAAUAAAACGAGGCACGUGUGCCUUUUUGCAUGUACUUUAUGAAUAAGGAUCGGCUAACUCCGUGCCAGCAGCCGCGGUAAUACGGAGGAUCCGAGCGUUAUCCGGAUUUAUUGGGUUUAAAGGGAGCGUAGAUGGGUUGUUAAGUCAGUUGUGAAAGUUUGCGGCUCAACCGUAAAAUUGCAAUUGAUACUGGCAGUCGUGAGUACAGUUGAGGUAGGCGGAAUUCGUGGUGUAGCGGUGAAAUGCUUAGAUAUCACGAAGAACCCCGAUUGCGAAGGCAGCUUACUAAAGUGUGACUGACAUUGAUGCUCGAAAGUGUGGGUAUCAAACAGGAUUAGAUACCCGAGUAGUC
rnacentral:rRNA from 1 species